rnacentral:sRNA from 1 species
UGCAGUGGGUGAUUGGGAGUGAAAUAUGACUUUCUUCACCAUCCUAACGUAUUGAUGAGGACCCAACGAAUAGGGCUGCCUGAACCAGGUAAACGCCGAGAGCUUGCAUGAGCUGGCUAGGAAUUAAAGGGAGAGGAGCCGCGAGAGGGUUCGAUUCCCUGUCAUCCAAUCCUGGUGGGCGUGUUUCGUCUUCUCCUCCGUAACAAAAAUAGGAUCUAACGAAUGGACAAAAUUAUCGGAAACCAUAAUUCGCCCCUAGUUAGCCAGAAAAGCUUGCAACUCGGUGGCUAUUUCCACGGGGUCAAAGAGUUAUUGCUGGCAUCACGUAUUGAAGCUCAGGUCCCCUCACCCAUUGGUUUUGCUGCCUCCGUGAAAGUAU